UUUAGGAUUUGGUUUAGGAUUUAAGGUUUGAUUUGGGUUUGAUUUAGGAUUUAAAAUUUGAUUAGGAUUUGAUUUAGGAUUAGGGUUUGGUCAAGGUUUGAUUUAGGGUUAAGAUUUGGUUAGGAUCUGAUUUAGGAUUAGGAUUUGGUUUAGGAUUUAGGAUUUGAUUAGGAUUUGAUUUAGAAUUAGGAUUUGAUUAGGAUUUGGUUAGGAUUUGAUUUAGGAUUUAGGGUUUAGAGUUUGAUUUGGGUUUGAUUUAGAAUUAGGAUUUGAUUAGGAUUUGAUUAGAUUUUUAUUUAGGAUUAGGAUUUGAUUAGGAUUUGAUUUAGGAUUUAGGAUUUGAUUUAGGAUUGAUUAAGAUUUGAUUUAAGAUUUAGGAUUUGAUUAGGAUUUGAUUUAGGAUUUAGGAUUUUAUUUGAGUUUAUUUAAGAUUUAAGAUUUAGUUAAUUUUUGGCCUAAAGUUUGAAUGAAGUCCAAUAGGAUUUUGACUAGGAUUAAAUUAAGAUUGAAUUGAGAUGUAUUUGAGAUAUAUUUGUAAUCAUUUUAAUAUUUCUUUAAGAUUUCUUAUUAUUUCUUUGUAAUUCCUUUGAGGUUUCUUUGAAUUUGAUUAAAGCUUUCUUAGCAUUGUUAUGGUCUAAUUAGACUUUAGUUAGUAUUCUAUUAGAGUAAGAAUUUUGUUGUUUCAAUUUCCAUUCUGCCUUCCACAACUAAGUAUUU
rnacentral:lncRNA from 1 species